rnacentral:rRNA from 1 species
UACGUAGGGGGCAAGCGUUGUCCGGAAUCAUUGGGCGUAAAGAGCGUGUAGGCGGCCAGAGAAGUCCGCUGUGAAAACUCGAGGCUCAACUUCGAGCUGUCGGUGGAAACUUUCUGGCUAGAGUCCGGAAGAGGAGAAUGGAAUUCCUGGUGUAGCGGUGAAAUGCGCAGAUAUCAGGAAGAACACCCGUGGCGAAGGCGGUUCUCUGGGACGGUACUGACGCUGAGACGCGAAAGCGUGGGGAGCGAACAGG